AAAUGAUACCCCGGGGUAGUCCCACGCCGUAAACGAUGAGUGCUAAGUGUUAGGGGGGUUUCCGCCCCCUUAGUGCUGCAGCUAACGCAUUAAGCACUCCGCCUGGGGAGUACGGUCGCAAGACUGAAACUCAAAGGAAUUGACGGGGGCCCGCACAAGCGGUGGAGCAUGUGGUUUAAUUCGAAGCAACGCGAAGAACCUUACCAGGUCUUGACAUCCCAUUGACCGCUAUGGAGACAUAGUUUUCCCUUCGGGGACAGUGGUGACAGAUGGUGCAUGGUUGUCGUCAGCUCGUGUCGUGAGAUGUUGGGUUAAGUCCCGCAACGAGCGCAACCCUUGUUCUUAGUUGCCAUCAUUUAGUUGGGCACUCUAAGGAGACUGCCGGUGACAAACCGGAGGAAGUGGGGAUGACGUCAAAUCAUCAUCGCCCUUAUCGACCGUUGGGACUACACUACGUGCUAACAAGUCGGAACGGUACAAACGGGUUGCCGAACCCGNGGUAGGGGACACGUUAACGUCCGAAUAAACCCGUUCACGAGGUUCGAUUGAGGUCUGACUACUCG
rnacentral:rRNA from 1 species